UACGUAGGGUGCAAGCGUUGUCCGGAAUUAUUGGGCGUAAAGAGCUCGUAGGCGGUCCGUCACGAUCGGCUGUGAAAACCCGGGGCUCAACUCCGGGCCUGCAGUCGAUACGGGCGGACUAGAGUACUGCAGGGGAGACUGGAAUUCCGUGGUGAUAGCGGUGAAAUGCGCAGAUAUCAGGAGGAACACCGGUGGCGAAGGCGGGUCUCUGGGCAGUAAACUGACGCU
rnacentral:rRNA from 1 species